rnacentral:rRNA from 1 species
GACGAACGCUGGCGGCGUGCUUAACACAUGCAAGUCGAACGGAAAGGCCCCUUUGGGGGUCCUCGAGUGGCGAAAGGGUGCGUAACACGUGCGUAACCUGCCCUUGACUUCGGGAUAACGUUAGGAAACUGGGGCUAAUACCGGAUAGGAAUCCGGUCUGCACGGUGGGGGUUGGAAAGCUUCGGCGGUUUUGGAUGGAGUUGCGCCUUCUGAGCUUGUUGGUGGGGUAGUGGCUUACCGAGGCUUUGACGGGGAGCCGGCCUGAGAGGGCGACCAGGCACAGUCGCACUGGGAAUGAGCCCAGACUCCGCCUGGUGGCGGCAGUGGCGAAGAGUACACUAGGGGAGGAGGCCUGAUGCAGCAACCCCGCGUGCGGGAUGACGGCCUUCGGGUUGUAAACCGCAUUCUGCAUGGGCGAAGCUUGUGGUGACGGUACCUGCAGAAGAAGCACCGGCUAACUACGUG